rnacentral:rRNA from 1 species
CAGCAGCCGCGGGAAUACAGAGGGUGCGAGCGUUAAUCGGAUUUACUGGGCGUAAAGCGUGCGUAGGCGGCUUCUUAAGUCGGAUGUGAAAUCCCUGAGCUUAACUUAGGAAUUGCAUUCGAUACUGGGAAGCUAGAGUAUGGGAGAGGAUGGUAGAAUUCCAGGUGUAGCGGUGAAAUGCGUAGAGAUCUGGAGGAAUACCGAUGGCGAAGGCAGCCAUCUGGCCUAAUACUGACGCUGAGGUACGAAAGCAUGGGGAGCAAACAGGAUUAGAUACCCCCGUAGUCCCUGUCUCUUAUAU